ensembl:lncRNA
AUUUGCCAUCAGUUUAAGAAAUAAUAUCUGUAUAAAUGUUCCAAACUAUGUAGAUGGUAUCAUUCUUUAUUAAUUAAUACCUUUCUUUAGUAUCUGUCAAAAAUAUUAUUUUUCUUUUAGGUAUCUUGUGUCUUGAUGUAUCUUCUUAUCCUAUCUAUAGGUUCCUUUGGAUUUUCUGUGUGAUAUCAACUAAAAUAUUUCAACUGGAAAUACUAAAAUUGUCUCCUCUGCUUUGGAGAUACCCAUUUCUGUGUCUUCUGACUUCCUUCAGAGGUCAAUUCUCAGUUUAACUGAUGCUCUUUGACAAUAAACUUUGUCUUCCC